GGGGCGGGGCUUCAAGGGAUUGGUAUCCCCGUGCAAGGAGGUUGGCGAGGCCUCAGGGGACUCCCAGUUCAGCGAAUCCGUUAGCCUUCCUCUGCCUUAGUCACUUCCCCGUGAGGCACUCCGUGUUUGUGUACACGGUUAUUCCACGUGUCAGUCAGUUCAUCGGGCGCAUCCGGAGUCAUUGAAAACAGUAAUAGGAAGUCAAACAAACCCGCUUGAUGCAAAAAUUCAGGAGGACAUUCGGUUUUUAAGGAAAUAGUGCUGAGGAAGGACCAGGCUGGAGCUCCUUGGACCCUGAGACUGGGAGGGUCUCGCUCUGUUGCCCAGGCUGGAGUACAGUGUUGUGACCACAGCUCACUACAGCCUCAACCUCCCAGGCACAAGAGAUCCUCCCACCUCAGCUUCCUGAGUAGCUGGAACUACAGGGCUACUUUCUCAUGUUUUGAUGGAAGUCAAGAAGAUACCAGUGGAAGAGGGGCUGUGCACUACAAUCCCUUGUGCAUUUGAAUUUCCCAAAGAACCCCCAAGCAAUUCCAUGAUCAUGCACUACUGGCUCAACAAAAACAUCAGCUCCCUGGUAGCUACAAAUAAACCCAAUGCUACCAUUGGUGAUAACACCAAGGACAAAUUUUACAUGACUGGGAAUCUUGAUGAAGAAGACUGUACCCUACUCAUCCACGAUAUACUCAAAGGGAACAGCAUAAUAUAUUUAUUCUACGCAGAUCUAGGAGAACAAAAAAGUGCUUUCCUGGGGGAGAAUAUCAAACUUUUUGUGUCAGGUGAUGUUCAAUAUCAUCCGAUAAGUGGUUUGGAAAGAAGGAAAUCC